GCCUGCUCACUGUUAUUAAUAUAGAGCUGCAGUAUUUUGACUGUACAAAGGUAGCGUAAUCAUUAGUUUCUUGAUUGGGGGCGAGUAUGAAAGGUUGGACGAAAAUUAGCUGUUUUAUUUAUAUUUAUGUGAAGUUAAUAUCUUUGUGAGAAAGCAGAGGUGGGAUAAUGGGACGAGAAGACCCUAUUAAAUUUUAGUUUUUGUAAUAUUUUUUAGUUUAUAAUUUUAAGGUGUUAGGGGAAAUUUACUUGGGGCGAGGGGUGGAAUAAACACCAUUAAAUAAAUUUAAUUAAUAUAAAAGGCGUAUAAGUUAGAUCCGGCGGUAGGCUGAGUAGUAGAAAAAGUUACUAUAGGGAUAACAGCGUAAUGUUUUUUGAGAGUUCAUAUUGACAAAAAUGUUUGCGACCUCGAUGUUGGAUUAAAAAUAUAUUUUGAUGAAAAGGUUAAAAAUGGUGGUCUGUUCGACCAGUAGUAUUUUACAUGAUCUGA
rnacentral:rRNA from 1 species